rnacentral:rRNA from 1 species
GACGGAAGGUGCAAGCGUUGCUCGGAAUCACUGGGCGUAAAGGGUGCGUAGGCGGCCGUGCAAGUCUGGCGUGAAAGCCCCGGGCUCAGCCCGGGAAGUGCGCUCGAAACUGCGCGGCUCGAGUGCCGGAGGGGAGAGUGGAAUUCCUGGUGUAGCGGUGAAAUGCGUAGAUAUCAGGAGGAACACCGGUGGCGAAGGCGGCAUUCUGGACUGUAACUGACACUGAGGAACGAAAGCCAGGGGAGCAAACGGG